UCCUUAGAUGUCCUGGGCCGCACGCGCGCUACACUGAGUGUCUGAGAUACGAGUCUGCCUGGUCCGGCAAGGUCUAGGUAAUCGCUGAAAGACACAUCAUGCUUGGGAUAGAUUAUUGCAAAUAUUAAUCUUGAACGAGGAAUUCCUAGUAAGCGCAAGUCAACAGCUUGCGUUGAUUACGUCCCUGCCCUUUGUACACACCGCCCGUCGCUACUACUGAUUGGAUGUUUAAGCGAGGUUCUCGAACUGCUAGCGACUUAGCUUCGGUGAGGUCGCAGUGUGGGAAGUGAACCUAGCUUUGGUGUCUAGAGGAAGUAAAAGUCAUAACA
rnacentral:rRNA from 1 species